AGAGUUUGAUCAUGGCUCAGGAUGAACGCUAGCUACAGGCUUAACACAUGCAAGUCGAGGGGAAACGACAUCGAAAGCUUGCUUUUGAUGGGCGUCGACCGGCGCACGGGUGAGUAACGCGUAUCCAACCUGCCCACCACUUGGGGAUAACCUUGCGAAAGUAAGACUAAUACCCAAUGAUAUCUCUAGAAGACAUCUGAAAGAGAUUAAAGAUUUAUCGGUGAUGGAUGGGGAUGCGUCUGAUUAGCUUGUUGGCGGGGUAACGCCACAAGGCUACGAUCAAAAGUGGGGUUCUGAGAGGAAGGUCCCCCACAUUGGAACUGAGACACGGUCCAAACUCCUACGGGAGGCA
rnacentral:rRNA from 1 species